rnacentral:rRNA from 1 species
CCUACGGGAGGCAGCAGUGGGGAAUUUUGGACAAUGGGCGCAAGCCUGAUCCAGCAAUGCCGCGUGAGUGAAGAAGGCCUUCGGGUUGUAAAGCUCUUUUGUCAGGGAAGAAACGGUGGGGGCUAAUAUCUCCUACUAAUGACGGUACCUGAAGAAUAAGCACCGGCUAACUACGUGCCGAGCAGCCGCGGUAAUACGUAGGGUGCAAGCGUUAAUCGGAAUUACCCUGGGCGUAAAGCGUGCGCAGGCGGUUUUGUAAGUCUGUCGUGAAAGCCCCGGGCUCAACCUGGGAAUUGCGAUGGAGACUGCAAGGCUUGAAUCUGGCAGAGGGGGGUAGAAUUCCACGUGUAGCAGUGAAAUGCGUAGAGAUGUGGAGGAACACCGAUGGCGAAGGCAGCCCCCUGGGGUCAAGAUUGACGCUCAUGCACGAAAGCGUGGGGAGCAAACAGGAUUAGAUACCCUGGUAGUCCAGCCCUAAACGAUGUCUACUAGUUGUCGGGUUUUAAUUAACUUGGUAACGCAGCUAACGCGUGAAGUAGACCGCCUGGGGAUACGGUCGCAAGAUUAAAACUCAAAGGAAUUGAGG